rnacentral:rRNA from 1 species
GACGAACGCUGGCGGCGUGCUUAACACAUGCAAGUCGAACGGAAAGGCCCUGCUCUUGCGGGGUGCUCGAGUGGCGAACGGGUGUGUAACACGUGAGUAACCCGUCCCUGACUUUGGGAUAUCUUCAGGAAACUGGGGCUAUUAUCGGAUAUGAGCUCUUGCUGCACGGGGGGGGUUGGAAAGUUUCGGCGGUUGGGGAUGGACUCGCGGGUUAUCAGCUUGUUGGUGGGGUAGUGGCUUACCAAGGCUUUGACGGGUAGCCGGCCUGAGAGGGUGACCGGCCACAUUGGGACUGAGAUACGGCCCAGACUCCUACGGGAGGCAGCAGUGGGGAAUAUUGCACAAUGGGCGGAAGCCUGAUGCAGCGACGCCGCGUGCGGGAUGACGGCCUUCGGGUUGUAAACCGCUUUCGCCUGUGACGAAGCGUGAGUGACGGUAAUGGGUAAAGAAGCACCGGCUAACUACGUG